UGGGGAAUUUUGGACAAUGGGCGAAAGCCCGAUCCAGCAAUGCCGCGUGUGUGAAGAAGGCCUUCGGGUUGUAAAGCACUUUUGUCCGGAAAGAAAUCCUUGGCUCUAAUACAGUCGGGGGAUGACGGUACCGGAAGAAUAAGCACCGGCUAACUACGUGCCAGCGGCCGCGGUAAUACGUAGGGUGCAAGCGUUAAUCGGAAUUACUGGGCGUAAAGCGUGCGCAGGCGGUUUGCUAAGACCGAUGUGAAAUCCCCGGGCUCAACCUGGGAACUGCAUUGGUGACUGGCAGGCUAGAGUAUGGCAGAGGGGGGUAGAAUUCCACGUGUAGCAGUGAAAUGCGUAGAGAUGUGGAGGAAUACCGAUGGCGAAGGCAGCCCCCUGGGGCCAAUACUGACGCUCAUGCACGAAAGCGUGGGGGAGCAAAACAGGAUUAGAUACCCCUGGUAGUCCACGCCCUAAACGAUGUCAACUAGUUGUUGGGGAUUCAUUCCUUAGUAACGUAGCUAACGCGUGAAGUUGACCGCCUGGGGAGUACGGUCGCAAGAUUAAAACUCAAAUGAAUUGACGGGGUCAUAGCUG
rnacentral:rRNA from 1 species